rnacentral:rRNA from 1 species
AGCGGGAAGUAGUUUACUACUUUGCCGGCGAGCGGCGGACGGGUGAGUAAUGUCUGGGAAACUGCCUGAUGGAGGGGGAUAACUACUGGAAACGGUAGCUAAUACCGCAUAACGUCUUCGGACCAAAGUGGGGGACCUUCGGGCCCCACGCCAUCGGAUGUGCCCAGAUGGGAUUAGCUAGUAGGUGGGGUAAUGGCUCACCUAGGCGACGAUCCCUAGCUGGUCUGAGAGGAUGACCAGCCACACUGGAACUGAGACACGGUCCAGACUCCUACGGGAGGCAGCAGUGGGGAAUAUUGCACAAUGGGCGCAAGCCUGAUGCAGCCAUGCCGCGUGUGUGAAGAAGGCCUUCGGGUUGUAAAGCACUUUCAGCGAGGAGGAAGGCCAAUAACUUAAUACGUUGUUGGAUUGACGUUACUCGCAGAAGAAGCACCGGCUAACUCCGUGCCAGCAGCCGCGGUAAUACGGAGGGUGCAAGCGUUAAUCGGAAUUACUGGGCGUAAAGCGCACGCAGGCGGUUUGUUAAGUCAGAUGUGAAAUCCCCGCGCUUAACGUGGGAACUGCAUUUGAAACUGGCAAGCUAGAGUCUUGUAGAGGGGGGUAGAAUUCCAGGUGUAGCGGUGAAAUGCGUAGAGAUCUGGAGGAAUACCGGUGGCGAAGGCGGCCCCCUGGACAAAGACUGACGCUCAGGUGCGAAAGCGUGGGGAGCAAACA